UACGUAGGAGGCGAGCGUUGUCCGGAAUUACUGGGCGUAAAGAGCGCGUAGGCGGCACAGCGCGACCGGUGUGAAAGCCCCCGGCUCAACUGGGGAGAGCCACUGGUAACGGCUGAGCUUAUGAGUGCAGGAGAGGGAAGUGGAACUCCGGGAGUAGCGGUGAAAUGCGUAGAUACCCGGAGGAACACCAGUGGCGAAGGCGGCUUCCUGGCCUGCGACUGACGCUGUGGCGCGAAAGCUAGGGGAGCAAACGG
rnacentral:rRNA from 1 species